rnacentral:rRNA from 1 species
AGUGAACGCUGGCGGUAGGCCUAACACAUGCAAGUCGAACGGCAGCACAGUAAGAGCUUGCUCUUACGGGUGGCGAGUGGCGGACGGGUGAGGAAUACAUCGGAAUCUACUUUUUCGUGGGGGAUAACGUAGGGAAACUUACGCUAAUACCGCAUACGACCUACGGGUGAAAGCAGGGGAUCUUCGGACCUUGCGCGAUUGAAUGAGCCGAUGUCGGCUUAGCUAGUUGGCGGGGUAAAGGCCCACCAAGGCGACGAUCCGUAGCUGGUCUGAGAGGAUGAGCAGCCACACUGGAACUGAGACACGGUCCAGACUCCUACGGGAGGCAGCAGUGGGGAAUAUUGGACAAUGGGCGCAAGCCUGAUCCAGCCAUACCGCGUGGGUGAAGAAGGCCUUCGGGUUGUAAAGCCCUUUUGUUGGGAAAGAAAAGCAGCAGGUUAAUACCCCGCUGUUCUGACGGUACCCAAAGAAUAAGCACCGGCUAACUUCGUG